rnacentral:rRNA from 1 species
UACGUAGGCGGCAAGCGUUAUCCGGAAUGAUUGGGCGUAAAGCGCGCGUAGGCGGUUUGUUAAGUCUGAUGUGAAAGCCCACGGCUCAACCGGGGAGAGGCAGUGGAAACUGGCAGACUAGAGUACAGGAGAGGAAGGUGGAAUUCCCGGUGUAGCGGUGAAAUGCGUAGAGAUAGGGAGGAACACCAGUGGCGAAAGCGACCUUCUGGUCUGUAACUGACGCUGAGGCGCGAAAGCGUGGGGAGCAAAAGGG